CAGUCGAACGAUGAAAGGGAAUCCGAUCUCUUCGGAGUGAAGAAUCUCUGGAUCAUUGGAGGACGGGUGAGUAACGCGUGAGCAAUCUGCCUUACACAAAGGGAUAGCCUCGGGAAACCGGGAUUAAUACCAUAUGAUAUCUAUUAACCGCAUGGCCUAUAGAUUAAAGAAUUUCGGUGUAAGAUGAGCUCGCGUCCCAUUAAUUAGUUGGUGAGGGUAACGGCCCACCAAGAUAGCGAUGGGUAGCCGAUCUAAGAGGAUGACCGGCCACAUUGGAACUGAGAAACGGUCCAAACUCCUACGGGAGGCAGCAGUGGGGAAUAUUGCACAAUGGGGGAAACCCUGAUGCAGCGACGCCGCGUGAGCGAUGAAGGCUUUCGAGUCGUAAAGCUCUGUCCUAUGGGAAGAUAAUGACGGUACCAUAGAAGAAAGCCCCGGCUAAUUACGUGCCAGCAGCCGCGGUAAUACGUAAGGGGCGAGCGUUGUCCGGAAUUAUUGGGCGUAAAGAGUGCGUAGGCGGCAAAUUAAGUCAGAUGUGAAAACUAAGGGCUCAACCCAUAGAUUGCAUCUGAAACUGAUAUGCUUGAGUCAAGGAGAGGAAAGUGGAAUUCCUAGUGUAGCGGUGGAAUGCGUAGAUAUUAGGAGGAAUACCGGUGGCGAAGGCGACUUUCUGGACUUGAACUGACGCUGAGGCACGAAAGCGUGGGGAGCAAACAGGAUUAGAUACCCUGGUAGUCCACGCCGUANACGAUGAGUGCUAGGUGUCUGCUCNUACGAGUAGGUGCCGUACGUUAACACAUUAAGCACUCCGCCUGGGGAGUACGUACGCAAGUA
rnacentral:rRNA from 1 species